rnacentral:rRNA from 1 species
UCCCAGACUCCUACGGGAGGCAGCAGUGAGGAAUAUUGGUCAAUGGACGAGAGUCUGAACCAGCCAAGUAGCGUGAAGGAUGACUGCCCUAUGGGUUGUAAACUUCUUUUAUAUGGGAAUAAAAUGUUCCACGUGUGGGAUUUUGUAUGUACCAUAUGAAUAAGGAUCGGCUAACUCCGUGCCAGCAGCCGCGGUAAUACGGAGGAUCCGAGCGUUAUCCGGAUUUAUUGGGUUUAAAGGGUGCGUAGGCGGGCAUUUAAGCCGGCGGUCAAAUGUCGGGGCUCAACCCCGGCCUGCCGUCGGAACUGGGUGCCUUGAGUGGGCGAGAAGUAUGCGGAAUGCGUGGUGUAGCGGUGAAAUGCAUAGAUAUCACGCAGAACCCCGAUUGCGAAGGCAGCAUACCGGCGCCCUACUGACGCUGAGGCACGAAAGUGCGGGUAUCGAACAGGAUUAGAUACCCCCGUAU